GAAAGCAUUGGAAAAGCUGAAC
rnacentral:miRNA from 1 species